GAAUUUCCAGAGGCGAAUCCGACUGAAGAAGCAGCAAGUGUAAUAACAGGGGUACAGGUUUCAGGGAGCUGUGUUGACGAAGGUCUUAAGUCAGAACAAGGCCCAACGGAAAAAGAUGAACAUGAAAAGAGCGCAAAGCCGAUUAAGGAAGCAGCAAGUGUUGAAAUAGGAGCAAAAUCUGCAGAAAGCUCUGUAAAUCCAUUUGAUGAAGCAGCAAGUUUAGAAAUAGGGGCAGAAGCUGCAGAAAGCUCUGUGGAUGAAGGU
rnacentral:lncRNA from 1 species